UUACGGACUAGCCAAUGAAAUUGAUCCUUCAGUACAAAAGCUGGAAUUAACCCAUAAGACGAGAAGACCCUGUGGAGCUUCAAAACCAAAAUCACUAAACAUGCCUCCUGGUUUUUUAGUUGGGGCGACUUUGGAGCAAAAAAAAUCCUCCAAAACAUAAAGUCAUUUAUUAAGAAAAACACACCAAAAAUAAUAUUAUAGACCCAGCAGUACUAGUUUACUGUCUGAUCAAUGAACCAAGUUACCCCAGGGAUAACAGCGCCAUCCUCUUCUAGAGUCCUUAUCGACAAGAGGGUUUACGACCUCGAUGUUGGAUCAGGACAC
rnacentral:rRNA from 1 species